UACGGGGGGGGCAAGCGUUGUUCGGAAUUACUGGGCGUAAAGGGCUCGUAGGCGGCCAACUAAGUCGGAUGUGAAAUCCCCAAGCUUAACUUGGGAACUGCAUCCGAUACUGGAUGGCUUGAAUCCGGGAGAGGGAUGCAGAAUUCCAGGUGUAGCGGUGAAAUGCGUAGAUAUCAGGAAGAACACCAACGGCGAAGGCAGCUCGCUGGGACGGUACUGACGCUGAGACGCGAAAGCGUGGGGAGCGAACAGG
rnacentral:rRNA from 1 species